rnacentral:lncRNA from 1 species
AUGGGUUGUCACAAGUAUGCUCUGUAGCCUUCUAACCCAGCUGCCUACUUAGGUUUCUUCCCUAUAAAUAGCCAAGUCAUUUAGAGAAAAUGAAAAUCGCCACUUAUUACCAAAAACUCUCUCAAACUCUAUUUUGCUCUAUACUACUUUAUGGACUUAGACAUAGGAAGUCCUUUGGCGGACACUCUCCCCUUCUUCAAUGUUAAGUACUUGGACAAUAAUAUAUUUUAGAGCGUGGGUUGCGGUUCACCCUUUCAAGUGGAAUUUUUAGUACCACACAUUUUGCACUAGCAAACUAAAUUAAACAUACUUUAACAAAACCAAUUAAGAGAAGACAGAUGACAAUCUAGUAUGCAUACAUUAUAAUUUAUAAACAAACAUUACUUGGUGAUAACAUCCUUAAGUAACACCACUGAUGGGUGCGUCAUUGUAUUCAAUCAGAAUAUAUGGAACAAGGAUGCUUCAACUCCUUUUGGCUCUUCGAAUAUGCUUGGAAAUGUUGGAUAUCUAUUUUUU